AGAGUUUGAUUAUGGCUCAGGAUGAACGCUAGCUACAGGCUUAACACAUGCAAGUCGAGGGGCAGCAUGAUCAAAGCUUGCUUGAUUGAUGGCGACCGGCGCACGGGUGCGUAACGCGUAUCCAACCUGCCAUGUACUCCGGGAUAGCCCUCUGAAAGGAGGAUUAAUACCGGAUGUGGUCAGCAGGGGACAUCCCCCGCUGAUUAAAGAUUCAUCGGUACAUCGAUGGGGAUGCGUACGAUUAGUUAGUCGGCGGGUAACGGCCCACCGAGACGACGAUCGUUAGGGGUUCUGAGAGGAAGGUCCCCCACAUAGGAACUGAGACACGGUCCUAACUCCUACGGGAGGCAGCAGUGAGGAAUAUUGGUCAAUGGGCGAGAGCCUGAACCAGCCAAAGUAGCGUGAAGGAUGACUGCCCUAUGGGUUGUAAACUUCUUUUAGGGGCGAAUAAAGUGCCGUACGUGUACGGUUUUGUAGGUAUCCCCUGAAUAAGCAUCGGCUAAUUCCGUGCCAGCCGCCGC
rnacentral:rRNA from 1 species